rnacentral:rRNA from 1 species
CGCGUAGGCGGUCUGUUAAGUCCGAUGUCAAAUCCCGGGGCUCAACCCCGGAUCGGCGUUGGAUACUGGCAGGCUGGACGGCUGGAGAGGCGAGUGGAAUUACCAGUGUAGCGGUGGAAUGCGUAGAUACUGGUAGGAACACCCAUUGCGAAGGCAGCUCGCUGGACAGCACGUGACGCUGAGGCGCGAAAGUGUGGGGAGCAAACC